rnacentral:lncRNA from 1 species
UGGGCAUCUUUGUACCCCUAAUUCUACUUCGGACACUUGUCUAUUUUUACCUCUCAUCUCACUCUUUCUCUUUCUUUAUCGAGGUUCCGGGCACUUGCCCCUUUUUAUUUCCUCGUAUAUUUUUGCAUAACCCAUGCCUCUUCUGCAUUGAAUCUUUUUAGAGAGAGAGAAUAACAAUACUUGGGACAGUGAGUGAUAAUAUUUUUUAGCAAUUUUAAUGAUUGAUAAUGAAUGUUGUGGUAGAUGUGUGCAAGUGAAUAUCUUUAUUUAACCACAUGAAAAGCUCCUAAGGGUCUACACAGCUCGAUCAAACUCAAUGUAAAUAUAGUAAAAGAUGUUAUAGCAAGUAUGGCUGUGGUAGGUAGUUUUGUUAUGCUAGGAACUCAUCAUGUGAUUUGUAAGUUUUCAAAAUAAAUCUCCAGAACUUAGUGUAGUAGGAACA